rnacentral:rRNA from 1 species
GACGAACGCUGGCGGCGUGCUUAACACAUGCAAGUCGAACGGAAAGGCCCUGCUUUUGUGGGGUGCUCGAGUGGCGAACGGGUGAGUAACACGUGAGUAACCUGCCCUUGACUUUGGGAUAACUUCACGAAACUGGGGCUAAUACCGGAUAGGAGCUCCUGCUGCAUGGUGGGGGUUGGAAAUUUUCGGCGGUUGGGGAUGGACUCGCGGCUUAUCAGCUUGUUGGUGGGGUAGUGGCUUACCAAGGCUUUGACGGGUAGCCGGCCUGAGAGGGUGACCGGCCACAUUGGGACUGAGAUACGGCCCAGACUCCUACGGGAGGCAGCAGUGGGGAAUAUGGCACAAUGGGCGGAAGCCUGAUGCAGCAACGCCGCGUGCGGGAUGACGGCCUUCGGGUUGUAAACCGCUUUCGCCUGUGACGAAGCGUGAGUGACGGUAAUGGGUAAAGAAGCACCGGCUAACUACGUG